rnacentral:rRNA from 1 species
GGGGAAUAUUGCACAAUGGGGGAAACCCUGAUGCAGCGACGCCGCGUGAAGGAAGAAGUAUCUCGGUAUGUAAACUUCUAUCAGCAGGGAAGAAAAUGACGGUACCUGACUAAGAAGCCCCGGCUAACUACGUGCCAGCAGCCGCGGUAAUACGUAGGGGGCAAGCGUUAUCCGGAUUUACUGGGUGUAAAGGGAGCGUAGACGGAUGGACAAGUCUGAUGUGAAAGGCUGGGGCUCAACCCCGGGACUGCAUUGGAAACUGCCCGUCUUGAGUGCCGGAGAGGUAAGCGGAAUUCCUAGUGUAGCGGUGAAAUGCGUAGAUAUUAGGAGGAACACCAGUGGCGAAGGCGGCUUACUGGACGGUAACUGACGUUGAGGCUCGAAAGCGUGGGGAGCAAACAGGAUUAGAUACCCUGGUAGUCCACGCGGUAAACGAUGAAUGCUAGGUGUCGGGUGAC